rnacentral:rRNA from 4 species
CUUAAAUUGAAGAGUUUGAUCAUGGCUCAGAUUGAACGCUGGCGGCAGGCCUAACACAUGCAAGUCGAGCGGAAACGACACUAACAAUCCUUCGGGUGCGUUAAUGGGCGUCGAGCGGCGGACG